rnacentral:misc_RNA from 1 species
AAAAAAAUUAAAUAAUUAAUGAUAAUAAUUAUUUAAUAAUUAUUAAAUAAAAUUUAUAUAAAAUUAUUAUUAAACACGCUUAAAAUUUUUAAAACUCUUAAAAUUUUAUAUCCGUCAAAAUUUAAUAUAAAAAUAAAAAAAAAAUUUAAAAAUUAUCAUUAAAACCUUAAAAUUUUUCAAAAUUUUGGAGGCUCAACGCCCCCCUUCCUACCUCUGGCUCCGUCUCUGUGUGGAAGCAUAUUUAUAUCUCUUCAACUGUGCUCUACUCGAAAGGCAAAGAACAAAGAUUUUUUUUACUACUUCAAAUAUAUAAAUAUAAAUAUGAAAGAUUACAAUUUUCAUAAAAAGAUCCAAACUCUGUAAUCUGCAUUUCAUCCUGUGUCCUUUGUUUAGAGGCAUCGGGAAUGCUCCUGUUUCAUCUUUCGCUUUAUAUCCUCUUAUAUAUUGAUCUUCUAUACAAUAUGGAACAAAUUAAGAUGAGAGUCUGUGUAAACUGAUUCCAAGGCACUCUCACCAUAAAUUAUUCUUCUAUAAUUUAUUUAUUUAUCGAUUCUUAUAUUAUUAAAGAUGUUUCAAACUAAAUUAAACAACGUAUCAUAAUUAAAAAAUUAUUAUUAUUAUAAAAACAAGACUAUAUUUAUAUUUAUUGUUAAAAUCAAAUCGGAGAAUUGAUUUUUU